rnacentral:rRNA from 1 species
GACGAACGCUGGCGGCGUGCUUAACACAUGCAAGUCGAACGGAAAGGCCUUUUCGGAGGUACUCGAGUGGCGCACGGGUGAGUAACACGUGGGUGAUCUGCCCUGCACUCUGGGAUAAGCCUGGGAAACUGGGUCUAAUACCGGAUAGGACCGCACUUUAGUGUGUGUGGUGGAAAGUUUUUUCGGUGUAGGAUGAGCCCGCGGCCUAUCAGCUUGUUGGUGGGGUAAUGGCCUACCAAGGCGGCGACGGGUAGCCGGACUGAGAGGUUGGUCGGCCACAUUGGGACUGAGAUACGGCCCAGACUCCUACGGGAGGCAGCAGUGGGGAAGAUUGCACAAUGGGCGCAAGCCUGAUGCAGCGACGCCGCGUGGGGGAUGACGGCCUUCGGGUUGUAAACUCCUUUCGCCAGGGACGAAGCGUUUUGUGACGGUACCUGGAGAAGAAGCACCGGCUAACUACGUG